rnacentral:rRNA from 1 species
GACGAACGCUGGCGGCGUGCUUAACACAUGCAAGUCGAACGGAGUUCCUCAGAUCAAGGCUUCGGCCAAGUGAAGUUGAACUUAGUGGCGGACUGGUGAGUAACGCGUGAGGAACCUGCCUUUCAGAGGGGGACAACAGUUGGAAACGACUGCUAAUACCGCAUGACGCAUAUGGAUCGCAUGGUCUGUAUGCCAAAGAUUUUAUCGCUGAAAGAUGGCCUCGCGUCUGAUUAGCUUGUUGGUGAGGUAACGGCCCACCAAGGCGACGAUCAGUAGCCGGUCUGAGAGGAUGAACGGCCACAUUGGGACUGAGAUACGGCCCAG